rnacentral:rRNA from 1 species
UACGUAGGGUGCAAGCGUUAAUCGGAAUUACUGGGCGUAAAGCGUGCGUAGGUGGUUUGUUAAGUCUGUUGUGAAAGCCCCGGGCUCAACCUGGGAAUGGCAAUGGAUACUGGCAAGCUAGAGUGCGGUAGAGGGUAGUGGAAUUCCCGGUGUAGCGGUGAAAUGCGUAGAGAUCGGGAGGAACACCAGUGGCGAAGGCGGCUACCUGGACCAGCACUGACGCUGAGACGCGAAAGCGUGGGGAGCAAACAGG